rnacentral:rRNA from 1 species
AAUGAACGCUGGCGGCGUGCCUAAUACAUGCAAGUCGAACGAAUUGCCGCACGGGUUAGUAAUAUAUAUUUAAUCUCCCCUACACAGAGUAACAUCAGUUCGAAACGGCUGCUAAUAUCUCAUAGUGUCGGAUGCGACUAUAUCGUAUUAGCUAGUUUGUAAGGUAAUGGCUUACCAAGGCUAUGACGCGUAACUGGUCUGAGAGGAUGAUCAGUAAGAUUGGAACUGAGACAGGGUGCAGAAGCCAAAGGGAGGCAGCAGUAAGGAAGAUGUCGAAAGGGGGGAGACCCUGAGGAAGCAAAGCAGCGUGGAAGAUGACAAUUAUAGGAGCGUAAACUCCUAGUAUCAGGAAAGCGGUACCUGAUGAAUAAGCAACGGCUAACUCCGUGCCAGCAGCCGCGGUAAUAC